rnacentral:sRNA from 1 species
GCCAGAGUGCGGAGCUGGACACCCGGGUCCCAGAUACUACAGACACCUGGAGAGGUGGCUCCUUCGCCCUGACGCCUUCCUCGGCCCCCUACGCACUCGGGCCCCUUCCGCAGAGGAUUCGCAGCGUGAGCGCCCCGCAGCCCGCUCAGGACCAGCUAUGAGCAGACGUGUGGUUCGGCAAAGCAAGUUCCGCCAUGUGUUUGGGCAGGCAGCAAAGGCCGACCAGGCCUACGAGGACAUCCGUGUGUCCAAGGUCACAUGGGACAGCUUCUUCUGUGCCGUCAACCCCAAAUUCCUGGCCAUUAUUGUGGAGGCUGGAGGCGGGGGUGCCUUCAUUGUCCUGCCUCUGGCCAAGGUGGUGACAAUGUGAUCAUCAUCUGGAAUGUGGGCACCGGGGAGGUGCUGCUGAGCCUGGAUGAUAUGCACCCAGACGUCAUCCACAGUGUGUGCUGGAACAGCAACGGUAGCCUGCUAGCCACCACCUGCAAGGACAAGACCUUGCGCAUCAUUGACCCCAGAAAAGGCCAAGUGGUGGCGGUGAGUGCCUGGCCUGGCCACUCCCCAGAACCCCUUGACCAGUGGCCAGCUGUCAGCACCCUUGUACCCACCAUUAUCAGAGUCCCUGGUCCCGGCUUUCACCUGUCGCAUCCCUGCUCCAGAGACUAGCCCCCUUCCCCCGUCUCUGCAACCACAGGUCUCUGCCCUAAGUAAGCCCCCAGCCUGCAAUUCUCUGCCCGGCUCCUGUUCCCUCCCCUCCCUUGCAUCUCAGAAGCUCAGAGAAGGGCUCCUCGCUUUGGGAUUGAGGAGGGGAGAAGCUGGAAACUCCAUCCUCCCACCAGAACCUGCAUGAAACCUGAGCUCCUGGACCCCUCUCCUCUCAGCCGGCACCCAGACGCAUCUUCCAGGGUCUGGGGCCUGACACUGGCUCGAGGGCUGGCCCUUUCUCCUUGUGGACCCGCUGGGCGGGGGAUGGGGGCAACCCUCGCGCGUUGCUUAUCCCAGCCGGGUGCCCUGGGAGGGCGGCGGCCCUGGCCUCGCUAGCCUCAAGUCUAACCUGGGGUGCGGGUGCGUGGGCCGCGUGCAUGUCUGCGUGGAGCAAGCGCGCCGAGAGCGGUCGGGGCUGGCGCCGGGGCGCUCUAACCCACUAACCCGGCGAGCAGGAGCAAGCCCGGCCUCACGAGGGCGCCCGCCCGCUGCGGGCUGUCUUCACCGCAGACGGGAAGCUGCUCAGCACCGGCUUCAGCAGGAUGAGUGAGCGGCAACUCGCGCUCUGGGACCCGGUAGGCCAGGCCGCGCCGGGCGCGCUAGCUCGCUCCUUCUCUGGGUCUGCCGGGAGCGCCUUCCCGGGCUGUGGCUGGCGCCCAAGAGGCCAGAGCGGAGCGGGGAGCUCCCAUUCGGGAAAAGCCUCGCUGCGACUCCGGGGAGCCAGCAGACACCGCUGCUCUAGGGAUCGGCCUUUGAGCGCGCUUAAGGGUUCGGGAUCGGCUGAGAGCCGCGUGCCUCCUGCUCUCUCCAGGCCCGGAUGCUCUCCAGGUCAGGGGCCAGACGUGGCCCCGCAGGAAGCUGAGUGCUUAGGCCCCAUUUGUCUCUUCCCCGCAUCCGCUCCUCCACCCCGGACACCCAAGUUAGCAAGCUGGUUGCUCAUCCCUCCAUGCUCCUCAGGGCAGGCAGCUGGGUGAUGUCCCUCCCUGUCUCCCCCUCCCCCCAGGAGAGGUUUGCGGCCCACGAGGGGAUGAGGCCCAUGCGGGCCGUCUUCACGCGCCAGGGCCAUAUCUUCACCACGGGCUUCACCCGCAUGAGCCAGCGAGAGCUGGGCCUGUGGGACCCGGUAACGCAGCUGGAGGCUUGGGGUGUGUGCCUCGGGGACUGGCAUCACGGGAGAGUGGCCAGGCGCCCCCCACCCGCAGGGCAUGCCCACCUGGACAGGACUGAAGGCUGCUGCCACCUCUGCAGCGCCUGCCAUUCUCACACCCACCCCUCUGCCCAGUUUUGCUGCGUCGCGUGAAGGAUCCUGCGCUGGCGCCCCCACCUGGUGAUGCCGAGUCCCUGGGGGUGGUUUGCUGUGACUGCAUGCGGCGCGCAGCGGAACAACUUCGAGGAGCCAGUGGCACUGCAGGAGAUGGACACAAGCAACGGGGUCCUAUUGCCCUUUUACGAUCCCGACUCCAGCAUCGUCUACCUGUGUGGCAAGGGCGACAGCAGCAUUCGGUACUUUGAGAUUACCGACGAGCCGCCUUUCGUGCACUACCUGAACACGUUCAGCAGCAAAGAGCCGCAGCGGGGCAUGGGUUUCAUGCCCAAAAGGGGACUGGAUGUCAGCAAGUGUGAGAUCGCCCGGUUCUACAAGCUACACGAAAGAAAGUGUGAACCUAUCAUCAUGACUGUGCCCCGCAAGUCAGACCUGUUCCAGGACGAUCUGUACCCGGAUACGCCAGGCCCGGAGCCGGCCCUAGAAGCGGACGAAUGGCUAUCCGGCCAGGACGCCGAACCCGUGCUCAUUUCGCUGAGGGACGGCUAUGUGCCCCCUAAGCACCGCGAGCUCCGGGUCACGAAGCGCAACAUCCUGGACCUUCGCCCGCCCUCCGGCCCCCGCCGCAGCCAGUCGGCCAGCGACGCCCCCUUGUCGCAGCACACUCUGGAGACGCUGCUGGAAGAGAUCAAGGCCCUCCGCGAGCGGGUGCAGGCCCAGGAGCAGCGCAUCACGGCUCUGGAGAACAUGCUGUGCGAGCUGGUGGACGGCACGGACUAGCCCCGCGCGCCAGGCAGGCGGAGCGGGGCGGGGCGGGGCGCACAAGCUCGGCCCCGCCCCGGCUUUUAGUCCCGAACUCCGGACCCCGCCUUCUUGGGCUGGGCCCGGGGGCGGGACUGGGAAGGGAACUCCGCCCCUCGCGGGAGACCAGAACUCUUGGAGCUUAGGGGAGACCCACGUCGCUCCAGCGGAGGCUGGACUGCGAGCCUCGUCUGGGACUCGGCUGGAGCUGGCCUAGGGAGGCCCGUGGUAACCUGGGGGGCUCAGCAAUGGUGCUGCACGGCGAGGUGGUGUCCCCCUUUGUCCUCCGCCCAGGGCAGGGAAAGUGCUUAGUAUUAGCGUGAUGCUUGGGGAUAUUGGAGCCUGAGCUUGACCUCAAACGGGUGGCGAUUUGAUGGGUACCCCCAGGCUGGGGAAAAUGACAGCGCUUCUCCUAAUCAGCUCACUGGAUUCCAUCACCCUGAGCGGUAAACCAGAUGGGCGUCACCCCAGUUCUGCAGACACAUACACAACCCCUUUGCUGCAGAGCCGGACCCAGUAGCUACACCCACAGCGGUCUGUGGUAGAGAGCUCUCUUCCUUCUUUCCACCGACAGGGGCGAGGGCUGCUUCCUCGCGGCAGCCCCCGCGAAGAAAUCUCGACAGAACUGGCAUGAGGAGUUAGGUUCAUCACAAAUACACACACACUGCCCCCAACCCUCUGCCGUUGCCUCUCUCAGAAAAACAAGACGUACUGAAUGAAAUAUUUUACUAAGCGUUC